rnacentral:rRNA from 1 species
GAUGAACGCUAGCGGGAGGCCUAACACAUGCAAGCCGAGCGGUAUUUGUUCUUCGGAACAGAGAGAGCGGCGCACGGGUGCGGAACACGUGUGCAACCUGCCUUUAUCUGGGGGAUAGCCUUUCGAAAGGAAGAUUAAUACCCCAUAAUAUAUUGAGUGGCAUCCUUUGAUAUUGAAAACUCCGGUGGAUAGAGAUGGGCACGCGCAAGAUUAGAUAGUUGGUGAGGUAACGGCUCACCAAGUCAAUGAUCUUUAGGGGGCCUGAGAGGGUGAUCCCCCACACUGGUACUGAGACACGGACCAGACUCCUACGGGAGGCAGCAGUGAGGAAUAUUGACAAUGGGUUAGCGCCUGAUCCAGCCAUCCCGCGUGAAGGACGACGGCCCUAUGGGUUGUAAACUUCUUUUGUAUAGGGAUAAACCUACUCUCGUGAGAGUAGCUGAAGGUACUAUACGAAUAAGCACCGGCUAACUCCGUG